GGCAAACGGGUGAGUAUAAUGUGGGAAUCUGCCUUUUGGUUUGGAAUAACACGGGGAAACUUGUGCUAAUACCGAAUAAGCCCUUACGGGGAAAGUUUUAACGCCGAAAGAUGAGCCUGCACUUGAUUAGCUAGUUGGUAAGGUAAAGGCUUACCAGGGCAACGAUCAAUAGCUGUUCUUAGAGGAAGACCAGCCACAUUGGGACUGAGACACGGCCAAGACUCCUACGGGAGGCAGCAGUGGGGAAUCUUGCACAAUGGGGGAAACCCUGAUGCAGCGAUGCCGCGUGAGUGAAGAAGGCCUUUGGGUUGUAAAACUCUUUCGUCGGGGAAGAAAAUGACUGUACCCGAAUAAGAAGGUCCGGCUAACUUCGUGCCAGCAGCCGCGGUAAUACGAAGGGACCUAGCGUAGUUCGGAAUUACUGGGCUUAAAGAGCUCGUAGGUGGUUAAAAAAGUUGAUGGUGAAAUCCCAAGGCUCAACCUUGGAACUGCCAUCAAAACUUUUUAGCUAGAGUGUGAUAGAGGUAAGUGGAAUUUCUAGUGUAGAGGUGAAAUUCGUAGAUAUUAGAAAGAACACCAAAUGCGAAGGCAACUUACUGGGUCACUACUGACACUGAGGAGCUAAAGCAUGGGUAGCGAAGAGGAUUAGAUACCCUCGUAGUCCAUGCCGUANACGAUGUGUGCUAGACGUUGGGAAUAUAUUUUUCAGUGUCGCAGCGAAAGCAUUAAGCACAC
rnacentral:rRNA from 1 species